rnacentral:tRNA from 1 species
GGAUAUAGCUCAGUUAGUAGAGUUCUUGCAUCUCAUGCAUAAGGUCCUGGGUUCAAUCCCCAGCAACACA